rnacentral:lncRNA from 1 species
AAUGGUUAGAUGAAGAACACUGUUCGAAUUGUACAGAUUAAAUAGUAUUGGCCUGCAGGAUCAAGUAGAGGGUAUCCAUUAAACAGAAGCUUGGUGAUAAUGGAGAAAUUGAAUACAGUUAGCUCAGAAAAGGCUUAAAAAUGUGGAAUUUUAUCAGCAGUCGGUAUUUGAAAGCUUUGUAAAAGGAGCCUAUGUUAUGAGGGGAAUAGAUAAAAGAUCUGGAGAUGACAGAUUUC